GCGGUGAUCCUGUGUUGAGUCUCAGAGUUUGGUGCCUGACACCAAUUUGCCAUUCAGAAUGUUCGCUUUAAAAACAUUGGAAACUACCUGCAGGUAAGAAAGGUCAUACAGCCAGCUCUCUCCUUGG